rnacentral:rRNA from 1 species
AACGAACGCUGGCGGCAGGCUUAACACAUGCAAGUCGAACGCCCCGCAAGGGGAGUGGCAGACGGGUGAGUAACACGUGGGAACAUGCCCAAAGGUACGGAAUAUUCUCGGGAAACUGGGAGCAAUACCGUAUGUGCCCGAAAGGGGAAAGAUUUAUCGCCUUUGGAUUGGCCCGCGUUGGAUUAGCUAGUUGGUGGGGUAAAAGCCUACCAAGGCGACGAUCCAUAGCUGGUCUGAGAGGACGACCAGCCACACUGGGACUGAGACACGGCCCAGACUCCUACGGGAGGCAGCAGUGGGGAAUCUUGGACAAUGGGCGCAAGCCUGAUCCAGCCAUGCCGCGUGAGUGAUGAAGGCCCUAGGGUUGUAAAACUCUUUCGUGGGGGACGAUAAUGACGGUACCCCAAGAAGAAGCUCCGGCUAACUUCGUGCCAGCCGCCGCCGUAA